AUGGAGCACGGCCAGGCGACUAACCGCGUCGACGAGUACGGCAACCCGGUGGCCGGGCAUGGCGUCGGCACCGGCAUGGGGGCGCACGGCGGCGUGCGCACCGGCGCGGCCGCUGGUGGGCAUUUCCAGCCCACGAGAGAGGAGCACAAGGCCGGAGGGAUCCUGCAGCGGUCCGGCAGCUCUAGUAGCUCCAGCUCGUCUGAGGAUGAUGGCAUGGGCGGGAGGAGGAAGAAGGGCAUCAAGGAUAAGAUAAAGGAGAAGCUUCCGGGUGGCCACGGCGACCAGCAGCAGACCGCUGGCACCUACGGGCAGCAGGGUCACACCGGAAUGACCGGCACCGGGGCGCAUGGUACAGCAGCCAUUGGCGGCACCCACGGGCAGCAGGGACACACCGGAGUGACCGGCACGGGGACGCACGCCACCGACGGCACUGGCGAAAAGAAGGGCAUCAUGGACAAGAUCAAGGAGAAGCUGCCCGGACAGCACUGA
rnacentral:rRNA from 1 species